rnacentral:rRNA from 1 species
GAUGAACGCUGGCGGCGUGCCUAAUACAUGCAAGUCGAGCGAACAGACGAGGAGCUUGCUCCUCUGACGUUAGCGGCGGACGGGUGAGUAACACGUGGAUAACCUACCUAUAAGACUGGGAUAACUUCGGGAAACCGGAGCUAAUACCGGAAAAUAUAUUGAACCGCAUGGUUCAAUAGUGAAAGACGGUUUUGCUGUCACUUGUAGAUGGAUCCGCGCCGCAUUAGCUAGUUGGUAAGGUAACGGCUUACCAAGGCAACGAUGCGUAGCCGACCUGAGAGGGUGAUCGGCCACACUGGAACUGAGACACGGUCCAGACUCCUACGGGAGGCAGCAGUAGGGAAUCUUCCGCAAUGGGCGAAAGCUUGACGGAGCAACGCCGCGUGAGUGAUGAAGGUCUUCGGAUCGUAAAACUCUGUUAUUAGGGAAGAACAAAUGUGUAAGUAACUAUGCACGUCUUGACGGUACCUAAUCAGAAAGCCACGGCUAACUACGUG